rnacentral:rRNA from 1 species
UGGGGAAUAUUGGACAAUGGGCGAAAGCCUGAUCCAGCCAUGCCGCGUGUCUGAAGAAGGCCUUUUGGUUGUAAAGCACUUUAAGCGAGGAGGAGGCUACUUAGAUUAAUACUCUAGGAUAGUGGACGUUACUCGCAGAAUAAGCACCGGCUAACUCUGUGCCAGCAGCCGCGGUAAUACAGAGGGUGCGAGCGUUAAUCGGAUUUACUGGGCGUAAAGCGUGCGUAGGCGGCUUUUUAAGUCGGAUGUGAAAUCCCUGAGCUUAACUUAGGAAUUGCAUUCGAUACUGGGAAGCUAGAGUAUGGGAGAGGAUGGUAGAAUUCCAGGUGUAGCGGUGAAAUGCGUAGAGAUCUGGAGGAAUACCGAUGGCGAAGGCAGCCAUCUGGCCUAAUACUGACGCUGAGGUACGAAAGCAUGGGGAGCAAACAGG